GACGAACGCUGGCGGCGUGCCUAAUACAUGCAAGUCGAACGAGUGGCGGACGGGUGAGUAACACGUGGGAACCUACCCAUCAGAGGGGGAUAACUACUGGAAACGGUAGCAAAUACCGCAUACCACCCAUAGAACCUAAAUGGGAUUAGCUAGUAGGUGAGGUAACGGCUCACCUAGGCGACGAUCCCUAGCUGGUCUGAGAGGAUGAUCAGCCACACUGGGACUGAGACACGGCCCAGACUCCUACGGGAGGCAGCAGUGGGGAAUAUUGCACAAUGGGCGCAAGCCUGAUGCAGCCAUGCCGCGUGUAUGAAGAAGGCCUUCGGGUUGUAAAGUACUUUCAGUCGGGAGGCGUUACCGACAGAAGAAGCACCGGCUAACUCCGUGCCAGCAGCCGCGGUAAUAC
rnacentral:rRNA from 1 species